UACGUAGGGUGCAAGCGUUGUCCGGAAUUAUUGGGCGUAAAGAGCUCGUAGGCGGUCUGUCGCGUCGGCUGUGAAAUCCCGAGGCUCAACCUCGGGUCUGCAGUCGAUACGGGCAAACUAGAGUAUUGCAGGGGAGACUGGAAUUCCUGGUGUAGCGGUGAAAUGCGCAGAUAUCAGGAGGAACACCGAUGGCGAAGGCAGUGAUCUGGGCCGAUACUGACGCUGAGGAGCGAAAGCGUGGGGAGCGAACAGG
rnacentral:rRNA from 1 species